rnacentral:rRNA from 1 species
UUCGCAAUGCCCGAAAGGGUGACGAAGCGACGCCGCGUGUGGGAGGAAGGCCUUCGGGUUGUAAACCACUGUCGGGAGUUAAGAAAUGCAAGAAUGUUAAUAGCGUUUUUGCUUGACUAAGGCUCCGGAGGAAGCCACGGCUAACUCUGUGCCAGCAGCCGCGGUAAUACAGAGGCGGCAAGCGUUGUUCGGAAUUAUUGGGCGUAAAGAGCACGUAGGCGGCUAUAUAAGUCGGUUGUGAAAGCCUUCCGCUCAACGGGAGAACAGCAUCCGAUACUGUAUGGCUUGAGUGUGGGAGGGGAGAGCGGAACUUCUGGUGGAGCGGUGAAAUGCGUAGAUAUCAGAAGGAACGCCGGCGGCGAAAGCGGCUCUCUGGCCCAUAACUGACGCUGAGUGUGCGAAAGCUAGGGGAGCAAACGGGAUUAGAUACCCCGGUAGUCCUAGCCGUAAAC